GAUGAACGCUGACAGAAUGCUUAACACAUCAGCAAUUGUUUGGAGGCGGACGGGUGAGUAACGCGUAAAGAACUUGCCUCACAGUUCGGGCCAACAUGUGGAAACGAAUGCUAAUACAUAAUUCUGUGAGAGUGCUUUUCGUCCCAUUAGCUAGUUGGAGAGGUAACGGCGCACAAAGGCGAGGAUGGGUAGCCGGACUGGGAGGGUGAUCGGCCACAAGGGGACAGAGACACGUGCCGUACUCCUACGGGGGGCAGCAGUGGGGAAUAGUCGGCAAUGGACCAAAGUCUGAUGCAGGAAUUCUGUGUGUACGACGAAGUUUUCGAGAUGUACAGUGCUUUCAGUUGGUAAGCGGUACCAACAGAAGAAGUGACGGCUAAAUACGUGCCAGCAGCCGCGGUAAUUC
rnacentral:rRNA from 1 species